rnacentral:tRNA from 1 species
GAAAUGAAGCUCAGUGGUAGAGCACUUGUCUGGCAUGUUGGAGACCCUGGGUUCAAUCCCCUGCACUGCG